UGUUUCAUUAAAACAAAGCAUCGUAAAGGCCUUUGGUGGGUGUUGAUGCGAUUUGAUUUCUGCCCAGUGCUCUGAAUGUCAAAGUGAAGAAAUUUAACAAAGCGCAGGUAAACGGCGGGAGUAACGAUAGAUACCACAAUUGACACCUAGCAAUGGAA
rnacentral:ncRNA from 1 species